UACGGAGGGGGCUAGCGUUGUUCGGAAUUACUGGGCGUAAAGCGCACGUAGGCGGCUUUGUAAGUUAGAGGUGAAAGCCUGGUGCUCAACACCAGAACUGCCUUUAAGACUGCAUCGCUUGAAUCAUGGAGAGGUGGGUGGAAUUCCGAGUGUAGAGGUGAAAUUCGUAGAUAUUCGGAAGAACACCAGUGGCGAAGGCGGCCCGCUGGACAUGUAUUGACGCUGAGGUGCGAAAGCGUGGGGAGCAAACAGG
rnacentral:rRNA from 1 species